AGAAGGGUCUACAUCAUAAAC
rnacentral:miRNA from 1 species